rnacentral:rRNA from 1 species
UAUGGUAAUUGUGAGCCGCCGCGGUAAUACGUAGGUGGCAAGCGUUGUCCGGAAUUACUGGGUGUAAAGGGAGUGUAGGCGGGAUAUCAAGUCAGAAGUGAAAAUUACGGGCUCAACUCGUAACCUGCUUUUGAAACUGACAUUCUUGAGUGAAGUAGAGGCAAGCGGAAUUCCUAGUGUAGCGGUGAAAUGCGUAGAUAUUAGGAGGAACACCAGUGGCGAAGGCGGCUUGCUGGGCUUUUACUGACGCUGAGGCUCGAAAGCGUGGGGAGCAAACAGG